CAUUAACGAAUUGUAAUGGGGGCUGAUGCUGGCCAUCAUCUUUUUGAUGGUAGGUGCUCGCCUCCAAUAACAAUCUCUCAUCCAAACACCUGUGCACCUUCUUUUGAGGGUUCCGAGCUGGCUACCAUUUUCCGGUGGUCUCUUGGAUUCCCUUCCUAUCUUUACAUACACAGCUUUACAAUGUUGAACGUGCCAGUGCCGAUUAGGCCGUAAUAUUAAUACAACUUUUAACAACGGAUCUCUUGGCUCUCGCAUCGAUGAAGAACGCAGCGAAAUGCGAUAAGUAAUGUGAAUUGCAGAAUUCAGUGAAUCAUCGAAUCUUUGAACGCACCUUGCGCUCCCUGGUAUUCCGGGGAGCACGCCUGUUCGAGUGUUGUGAACUUCUCAAGCUAGCAUGCUUUUUUGCUUUCUGGCUUGGUAUUGGGCUCUGCCGUGUCCCUUGACUUGGAACGGCUGGCCUUAAAAGCAUUAGCUGGCCUUCAUGCGAUAUUGGUUCUACUCAGCGUGAUAAUUAUGUGAUCGCUGAGGACAUCUUUUUGGGAUGGCCAAUUCGCGUUUGGGUUGCUUCCAAUCUGGAUUACAGAUUUCUGAAUCUGUUCCACUUUCAAUUUUGACCUCGAAUCAGGUGGGACUACCCGCUGAACUUAAGCAUAUCAAUAAGCGGAGGAAAAGAAACUAACAAGGAUUCCCCUAGUAACGGCGAGUGAAGCGGGAAAAGCUCAAAUUUAAAAUCUGGCAGUCUUAGAUUGUCCGAAUUGUAAUCUAGAGAAGCGUCUUCCGCGCUGGACUGUGUACAAGUUUCCUGGAUACGGAACAUCGUAGAGGGUGAGAAUCCCGUCCUUGACACAGACUCCCAGUGCUUUGUGAUGCGCUCUCGACGAGUCGAGUUGUUUGGGAUUGCAGCUCAAAAUGGGAGGUAAAUUCCUUCUAAAGCUAAAUAUUGGCGAGAGACCGAUAGCGAACAAGUACCGUGAGGGAAAGAUGAAAAGCACUUUGGAAAGAGAGUUAAACAGUACGUGAAAUUGUUAAAAGGGAAACGCUUGAAGUCAGUCACGUUUGCUUGGACUCAGCCCUACUUCGGUUAGGUGCACUUCCUUGUAGACGGGCCAGCGUCCAUGUCGUCCGUCGGAAAAGGGGUGAGGGAAUGUGGCUCCUUUGGGAGUGUUAUAGCUCUUGCUCGGAUGCGGGGUACGAUAUGGAGUGGUACAGCAUGCUUCGGUGGUGCUUGUGCUGGCAUAAUGGCUUUAAACGACCGUCUUGAAACACGGACAAGGAGUCUAACAUGUCUGAGUGUUUGGGUGGAAACCGACGCGCAUGAAAGUGAUAGCUGGGAACCCCUUUCGGGA
rnacentral:rRNA from 1 species